rnacentral:rRNA from 1 species
CAGCAGCCGCGGUAAUACGAAGGGGGCUAGCGUUGCUCGGAAUGACUGGGCGUAAAGGGCGCGUAGGCGGAUGGCACAGUCAGAUGUGAAAUUCCCGGGCUUAACCUGGGGGCUGCAUUUGGUACGUGUGAUCUAGAGUGAGGAAGAGGGUCGUGGAAUUCCCAGUGUAGAGGUGAAAUUCGUAGAUAUUGGGAAGAACACCGGUGGCGAAGGCGGCGACCUGGUCCUUACUGACGCUGAGGCGCGAAAGCGUGGGGAGCAAACAGGAUUAGAUACCCCAGUAGUCCCUGUCUCUUAUACC